GCACAGGUAGCUCAGAGCAAGAGCGCCGGUCUUGUAAACCGGAUGCCGGGGGUUAAAAUCCCCCCCUUUGUA
rnacentral:tRNA from 2 species